AAGCGGCAACAGCUCAAAUUUGAAAUCUGGCGCAAGCCCGAGUUGUAAUUUGUAGAGGAUGCUUCUGGGUAGCGACCGGUCUAAGUUCCUUGGAACAGGACGUCAUAGAGGGUGAGAAUCCCGUAUGUGACCGGCCCGCACCCUUUACGUAGCUCCUUCGACGAGUCGAGUUGUUUGGGAAUGCAGCUCUAAAUGGGAGGUAAAUUUCUUCUAAAGCUAAAUACCGGCCAGAGACCGAUAGCGCACAAGUAGAGUGAUCGAAAGAUGAAAAGUACUUUGGAAAGAGAGUUAAAAAGCACGUGAAAUUGUUGAAAGGGAAGCGCCUGCAAUCAGACUUCGCGGCAGUGUUCCGCCGGUCUUCUGACCGGUUUAUUCUCUGUCGCGAGGCCAUCAUCGUCUCGGCCCGCUGGAUAAGACCUUAGGAAUGUAGCUCACCUUCGGGGGAGUGUUAUAGCUUAUGGUGAUGCAGCGAGGCUGGGGCGAGGUCCGCGCUUCGGCAAGGAUGAUGGCGUAAUGGUUGUCGGCGGCCCGUCUUGAAACACGGACCAAGGAGUCUAACAUCUAUGCGAGUGUUCGGGUGUCAAACCCCUACGCGUAAUGAAAGUGAACGGAGGUGGGAACCGCAAGGUGCACCAUCGACCGAUCCUGAUGUCCUCGGAUGGAUUUGAGUAAGAGCAUAGCUGUUGGGACCCGAAAGAUGGUGAACUAUGCCUGAAUAGGGUGAAGCCAGAGGAAACUCUGGUGGA
rnacentral:rRNA from 1 species